UAGAUACUCUCUCCAUCCGGAAUUAUUUGUCGGAGCAAAGGAUAAAAAUUGAUGUAUCUAGAACUAAAAAUGAGUCUAGAUGCAUCCAUUUUUCUAACAAGCAAUUCUGGACAGAGGGAGUACAAA
rfam:Triticum aestivum genome assembly, contig: Triticum_aestivum_CS42_TGACv1_scaffold_457493_5DS